rnacentral:rRNA from 1 species
GAUGAACGCUGGCGGCGUGCUUAACACAUGCAAGUCGAACGGAAAGGCCCUGGCUUGGUCGGGUGCUCGAGUGGCGAACGGGUGAGUAACACGUGAGUAACCUGCCCUUUACUUUGGGAUAACCUCAGGAAACUGGGGCUAAUACCGGAUAGGAGCUCCUGCUGCAUGGUGUGGGUGGGAAAGUUUCGGCUGUGGGGGAUGGACUCGGGGUUUCUCAGUUUGUUGGGGGGGUAGUGGCUUACCAAGGCUUUGACGGGUAGCCGGCCUGAGAGGGUGACCGGCCACAUUGGGACUGAGAUACGGCCCAGACUCCUACGGGAGGCAGCAGUGGGGAAUAUUGCACAAUGGGCGGACGCCUGAUGCAGCAACGCCGCGUGCGGGAUGACGGCCUUCGGGUUGUAAACCGCUUUCGCCUGUGACGGAGCGUGAGUGACGGUAAUGGGUAAAGAAGCACCGGCUAACUACGUG